AUUUUCGACAAUGGGGGCAACCCCGAUCCAGCCAUCCCGCGUGUGCUAUGAAGGCCUUNGGGUUUNANAGCUCUUUUGUCAGGUANACAAAAGUACGGGAUAAUAUCCUGUGCGAAUGACGGUACCUGAAUAAUAAGCACCGGCUAACUACGUGCGAGCAGCCGUGGUAAUACGUAGGGUGCAAGCGGUAAGCGGAAUUACUGGGCGUAAAGCGUGCGCAGGCGGUUGAUUAAGACACGAGUGAAAUCCCCGGGCUUAACCUGGGAACUGCGCUUGUGACUGGUCAGAUAGAGUAUGGCAGAGGGGGGUGGAAUUCCACGUGUAGCAGUGAAAUGCGUAGAGAUGUGGAGGAACACCGAUGGCGAAGGCAGCCCCCUGGGCCGAUACUGACGCUCAUGCACGAAAGCGUGAGUAGCAAACAGG
rnacentral:rRNA from 1 species